rnacentral:rRNA from 1 species
GGGUCAGCAGGUCGGUCGUGCCACUGGUAUGUACUGGCUUUGCUGAUUCCUCCCUCUUGACGAACCGUAAUGCCAUUAAUUUGGUGUUGCGGGAAAUCAGGACUGUUACUUUGAAAAAAUUAGAGUGUUUAAAGCAGGCUUACGCUUGAAUACAUUAGCAUGGAAUAAUGAAAUAGGACGUUCGAUCCUAUUUUGUUGGUUUCUAGGAUUGACGUA